UACGUAGGGUGCGAGCGUUGUCCGGAAUUAUUGGGCGUAAAGGGCUCGUAGGCGGUUUGUCGCGUCGGGAGUGAAAACCUCGGGCUUAACUCGGGGCUUGCUUUCGAUACGGGCAGACUAGAGGUAUGCAGGGGAGAACGGAAUUCCUGGUGUAGCGGUGAAAUGCGCAGAUAUCAGGAGGAACACCGGUGGCGAAGGCGGUUCUCUGGGCAUGAUCUGACGCUGAGGCACGAAAGCUAGGGGAGCAAACAGG
rnacentral:rRNA from 1 species